GACGAACGCUGGCGGCGUGCUUAACACAUGCAAGUCGAGCGAGAAACUUCGGUUUCUAGCGGCGGACGGGUGAGUAACACGUGGGCAACCUGCCUCACAAUGGGGGAUAGCCUUCCGAAAGGAAGAUUAAUACCUCAUAACACAAAGGAAGCGCAUGUUUAUUUUGCCAAAGAAUUUCGUUGUGAGAUGGGCCCGCGGCGCAUUAGCUUGUUGGUGAGGUAACGGCUCACCAAGGCGACGAUGCGUAGCCGACCUGAGAGGGUGAUCGGCCACAUUGGAACUGAGACACGGUCCAGACUCCUACGGGGGGCAGCAGUGGGGAAUAUUGCACAAUGGAGGAAACUCUGAUGCAGCAACGCCGCGUGAGUGAUGAAGGUCUUCGGAUUGUAAAGCUCUGUCUUCUGGGACGAUAAUGACGGUACCAGAGGAGGAAGCCACGGCUAACUACGUGCCAGCCGCCGCGGUAA
rnacentral:rRNA from 1 species